GACUCCUUUCAGGAAAGGGAAUGCAGUGAUUGCAGAGGUGGGCAUGAUGUUGAAUCAUUUAACAGAAGUGUAGACCUGUAUGAUGGGAAAAACAUCUUCACUGCCUGAGAAGCAUCUCAGUCUCAUGAAGGAAUGCAGCACAUAAACAGGACUGGAGUGACAUCUGGGAAUGAUUCCCUUUCCUCUCCAAUGUAAUGUAGGAGUGUGCCAGCUUCAUCAAAUGUGGAUGCACCAGCUAUUAAUGUGUCAGAAAUACUGAGAAAGCCUGGGAAGAGAGAGAGUAAGUGAUUGAGUUUCUGCUACGCACUAUCCCUAAUGCAAGUCACUGUAAUGGUCCCACCAGUCUGUCAAUUUUCAUUAGAAGGAGGAAUGGAAAGAGGCCCAAGUCCUGGCUACCUAUUUGCAUGGACACAUGCUGCAAAUUCUGAGGGAGCAGCAUGGCUUCCCUUUCCUUUUGGCUCCAUUUUGGUCUGACACAGGAAGCAGAGCUGGGCACAGACAAAUGUGGACACCUCCCUUUGCAUCCCUUCCCCUGUGUAUGUCUUGUGCAAGAAAAGUGGGCUGCAAGCAGCAUCAGAGGGUAGCCUGGCAGAAGGUGCUUGCCCGGCCAGCACUUGUCCCAUCUGCUUUUCAUGUUAGGGCCACACAGCACACGAUCUACGUGUUUCUGGUUCAGUCCAGCUUCAGGACAGCAAGAAGGGCUCCCAUGGCAUGAACAAGAGUGGCCAUGCCCUAAGUGUGCCAGUAGCCCUGGCUGUUGAGGACCCCUGGGGUUAGUGUGAACUGGAAGGCUUUGCAAUAGACAGUGGGUGCUCAGUGAGGAGGACAGCUCUGGCUGAUGUGCUGCUGUGUUCAGGGUGCUGGACAGACAGCUUUAUAUCCAUGUAUAAAACGGAGAUGAAAACCUUUAGGUAGGGAAACAGGUUCACUGCAAGCAAAGGUCCAAGGGAUCAUACUUCUACCACAAUGCAAGCGGGAAGAAAAUCUUAUCGAGUCUCUUUACAGAUCUUCAGGAGUAAAAGAAAAGGUUAACCUUUGAAAACAUUUUCGCCAAUUACUUUGCUUUCCCAUGACAUCAGUCCUCUCAGUUUCUAUAGUCCUUUGAAGAACAGCAUUGCUAAUAACUAACCUCAUGCCUUUCAUAUAAUCUUAAAUUUUCCUUUGAGCCUUCAAGGAAAAUCACAAUUUCCCCUGUGCAAAGCUUUGCUUUGAAUUUGGAGUCUGAAAUUUUAUAUUUAGGAUAAUGUGAGGGAGUCCUGGGAGACCAAAAAGUAUUUGCAAAACACUUGGCAUUAGUUGUAUAGAUAGCAUUUUAACUGUUCACCAGUAUUCAAUAGCAGAUUUAUGUACAUGUGUGAUGUAUGUCAUGGGCACAACAUGUGGGAUGUAACCAAAUAUUCAGGUGUAUCAUUUUUAGUGCCCAAGCAGAAAGCAUCUAGGCUGUAUGACAGAUUCCCAUAGUUCAAAGGUGCUGAGAAAUAUGGUAUUUGCACACACAUUUGCCCAUCUUCCAGCAGUGUGCUUU